AGAGACACUCUGCAACUCAGUCACUGAGGCUUUACAUUGACUACAGCUGCAAAUGGAAACAUUUAAAAUCUUCCUUUUGACAGUGGUCGUCUGUGUGCAAGUAACAUCUCAAGAAAGCAGUGAACACCCUAAGAUUUAUAUCCCUAAGCCCAAGAUAACUCGGAAUCCAACUCACAAGGUGCUGUACAGCACAGAGGUGGUCACUCUGCACUGUGUGGUCCCUGGAGGAGCAUCUGAGUUACAAUAUGACUGGUACAUGGACUCUGCUAAUCUUGAACCUCACCAUUGGUCCAGCAUCGAUGUGAAAGAUGGCGGAAAUUAUAAAUGCAAGGCAAAAAAUGGAGCUUCUGAGUCUGAAAAAAGUGAUGGGUACACUUUAACUCUACAAGAACCACCUGAACCAAAACUGUCAAUAGAGUCUGAAUGGAAGACAUUUUACCCAACUGAAAAAGUGACUCUGAAGUGUUCAUUUGAUGAAGAUUUAAAUGAAUGGGGUUAUGAAUGGUUUAAAAGCAGAGCUCAGCUUUCAGGUUAUGAGGACAUUUCCUUUUCUGGAGACACACUCUCAAUCAGCUCAGCAAAAGCGAGUCAUUCAGGACAGUAUACCUGCAGAGGAAAACAUCUGAAGAGAACAACAGUGACAACAAGACAAACAGAAGCUUUGAAACUACUUAUUUAUGAUAACACACCAAAACCAAACAUCACAAAACAUCAGUGGUUUGAGUUCUUCUACACUGAGGAAGAAGUCCAGCUUGGUUGUAACAUGCCUGGUGAUGGUUGGGAGUACGACUGGUAUAAAGACUCAAAAAAGUUGAUCACAGAUCCAACCUUCACUAUCAGCUCAGCGUCUCUCUCUAACACUGGUGUCUAUCAAUGCAAAGCAAAAAGAGGAGACUUCUCAGUGGACAGUGAGACUCUACAAGUGCAAGUUAAAUACCCACCUCAACCAAAACUGUCAAUAGAGUCUGAAUGGAAAACAUUUUACCCAACUGAAAAAGUAACUCUGAAGUGUUCAAUUGAUGGAGGUUCAAAUGAAUGGGGCUAUGAAUGGUUUAGAAAUAGAGCUCAGCUUUCAGGUGAUGAGGACAUUUCCUUUUCUGGAGAGACACUCUCAAUCAUCUCAGCAAAAGCGAGUCAUUCAGGAAAUUAUACCUGCAGAGGAAAACAUCUAAAGAGAACACCAGUGACUACAAGACAAACAGAUGCUUUGCAACUUCAUAUUUAUGUUGACACACCCAAACCAGACAUCAGAAAAGAUCAGUGGUUUGAGUUCUUCUACACUGAGGAGGAAGUCCAGCUUGGUUGUAACAUGCCUGGUGAUGAAUGGAAGUAUGACUGGUAUAAAGACUCAGAAACCUUGAUCACAGAUCCAACCUUCACUAUCAGCUCUGCAUCUCUCUCUGACACUGGUGUCUAUCACUGCAAUGCAAAGAGAGAAGACUUCUCAGUGGACAGUGAGAUUCUACAAGUGCGAGUUGAAGAGCCGCCUCAACCAAAACUGUCAAUAGAGACUCAAUGGAAAACAUUUUACCCAAGUGAAAAAGUGACUCUGAAGUGUUCAAUUGGUGGAGGUUCAAAUGAAUGGGGAUAUGAAUGGUUUAAAAACGGAGCCCGGCUUUCAAUUGAUGAGGACAUUUCCUUUUCUGGGGACACACUCUCAAUCAGCUCAGCAAAACUGAGUCAUUCAGGACAGUAUACCUGCAGAGGAAAGCACCUGAAGAGAACUCCAGUGACUACAAGACAAGGAGAAGCUUUGCAACUGGAUAUUUAUGAUAACACACCAAAACCAGACAUCACAAAACAUCGGUGGUUUGAGUUCUUCUACACUGAGGAAGAAGUCCAGCUUGGUUGUAACAUGCCUGCUGAUGGAUGGAAGUAUGACUGGUAUAAAGAUUCAAAACCCCAGAUCACAAAUACAACCUUCACUAUCAGCUCAGCAUCUCUCUCUGACACUGGUGUCUAUCACUGCAAAGCAAAGAGAGGAGACUUCUCAGUGGACAGUGAGACACUACAAGUGCAAGUUAAAUACCCACCUCAACCAAAACUGUCAAUAGAGUCUGAAUGGAAAACAUUUUACCCAACUGAAAAAGUAACUCUGAAGUGUUCAAUUGAUGGAGGUUCAAAUGAAUGGGGCUAUGAAUGGUUUAGAAACGGAGCUCAGCUUUCAGUUGACAAGGACAUUUCCUUUUCUGGAGACACACUCUUAAUCAGCUCAGCAAAAGUGAGUCAUUCAGGACAGUAUACCUGCAGAGGAAAACAUCUGAAGAGAACGCCAGUGACUACAGGACAAACAGAUGCUUUGCAGCUUCAUAUUUAUGUUGACACACCAAAACCAGACAUCAGAAAAGAUAAGUGGUUUGAGUUCUUCUACACUGAGGAGGAAGUCCAACUUGGUUGUAACAUGCCUGGUGAUGGAUGGAAGUAUGACUGGUAUAAAGACUCAGAAACCUCGAUCACAGAUCCAACCUUCACUAUCAGCUCUGCAUCUCUCUCUGACACUGGUGUCUAUCACUGCAAUGCAAAGAGAGGAGACUUCUCAGUGGACAGUGAGACUCUACAAGUGCGAGUUGAAGAGCCGCCUCAACCAAAACUGUCAAUAGAGACCCAAUGGAAAACAUUUUACCCAAGUGAAAAAGUGACUCUAAAGUGUUCAACUGAUGGAGGUUCAAAUGAAUGGGGCUAUGAAUGGUUUAUAAAUGGAGCUCAGCUUUCAGUUGACAAGGACAUUACCUUUUCUGGAGACACACUCACAAUCAGCUCAGCAAAAGUGAGUAAUUCUGGACAGUUUACCUGCAGAGGAAAACAUCUGAAGAGAAUGCCAGUGACUACAAGACAAGCAGAAGCUUUGCAACUUCAUAUUUAUGUUGACACACCAAAACCAGACAUCAGAAAAGAUCCGUGGUUUGAGUUCUUCUACAUUGAGGAGGAAGUCCAGCUUGGUUGUAACAUGCCUGCUGAUGGAUGGAAGUAUGACUGGUAUAAAGACUCAGAAACCUUGAUCACAGAUCCAACCUUCACUAUCAGCUCAGCAUCUCUCUCUAACACUGGUGUAUAUCACUGCAAAGCAAAGAGAGGAGACUUCUCAGUGGACAGUGAGACACUACAAGUGCGAGUCAAAGCGCGUCCACCUGCAGUUCUGAGUCUGGAGACUGAAUUGAGCGACAUCAUGUCUGGGAAUAUCCUGACCCUCAGGUGUAACGUCUCAGACAGCAGACAGUGGAGCUACGCCUGGUUCGAGAACGGACAGAAGCUCAAUGGGUCGUCAGAUCUGUUCAAAGUGACAGCAACUGAAGAAACUAUUAAAAGUGAAUUUAAGUGCAAGGGAAUAAGGACAGAGAGACCACUGUACUCCGCUCUGAGUGAGGGCUUCACGGCCAAUAAUAUUAUAUUAAAAAGAAAAAUUCUGCUGGCCAUCUCAGGAUUUCUCAUCUGCUGUAUUGUAAUCCUGAUUAUCGGAUGCCUUGUUCUAAGAUUCACCUGUAAAUCAGGUACAAACAGAAAAACAAACAAAAAAAAAACAAGCAGUAUCUAUUUACACCAAGCACCAACAACCAUUGCUUCAAAUACUGUAGUACCGUUUCUACUGUAUUUACACUUUCUUUGAAUAGUAUCUAUCAAUGGAUGCAGUGUAAACAGGUAAACACUAUUUACCCUCUGUAGUGUUGUACUUCCCCUUUAAGAAAAGUGGUUUGACUGUGUGCUGUGCUGUCGAGUGCGAGUGAAGCAUGUGAUGUUGAAUGAUAACAAGCAAUCAGUAAAGAGAGACAUCUGUACUUCAUUCAGUUGUUGGUCUGAAGUUAUUACAGCCUCUAGUACAUUUAGUGUAAAUGGCUGCUACCUAAAAAUAUAAAAUUGCUUUUAAACAUGUAAACCUUUGACGUGGAUUCAGCCAUUUUGUGAUUGUUGUCAUACAAUACCAUUUAGAAGUUUGAGUUUUGGCAAGAUUUUUAAAUGUUUUUGAAAGAAGUCUCUUAUGCUCACCAAGACUGCAUUUAUUUAAUCAAGAAUACAGUAAAAACAGUAACAUUUAGCUUCUGUGUUUUUAAUUAUAUUAGUAACAUUUUACAUUUAAUUACUUCUUACAAAACUUUUGUUUCAUAUCUUUAUCUUUAGAGAAAAAAGAAACAGUACAAGAGGACUUGUUUUUCUCAAUGGCAGACCCCAAUAACCAUGAAGACUCACCAGCGGCAGAAGCUAUUGUCCUGACAUCAUUUAAAGGACUCUGAACCAUUAUGUCAGCAAUCAACAUUAUGAAGGAGUUUCUAUAUUUGCACUGAGGCAGCUAAAUAGCAUGCUUAUAUUAAAAAAGUUUGCAUUAGCACGACACUUUGUCUAGUAGCAGCUGCAAUUUUGUAUACUUUUAAAGGCUGAAAACCAGCUUGUUUGCAGCUUGAGAAAAUGUUGAAUUGAACUGCAGUGUUGUGGCAUACUGCCUUAAAUGAAGACAGUGAUUGUAGAGGGAGAUGAAUAACGGACAGAAAGAAAUUAUAAUUAUAAGAAGUAACCAAAGUUAUAUCUGUUAUAUCUGUCUACUUCUGUUUCUUUUGUUACUUGCAAAUACAAAUAUUACAACAUGGCACCAUAGAAAAAAAAAAUUAUUGUAAUACAUCUACUAGAUUAUUUUGUUGUAAUUUAUUUGCAUAUUGAACAAAAGAUUUUUUUUUUCCUUCUGUAUGAGUGCCCCCCUUUAAGAAAAGUAGUUUACACAUAUUUUAUUUGAGAUAUUGUUUUUGUUUGUGUUUUGUGUUUUUUAUGUGUUGUUCUGGAUUAUUUACAUUCAAAUAAACA